CUGCACCCUAAGUGGCUACUUUCCAGACGAACUGAGUGUGGAGUGGAAGCAGGACAACCAACGUCUACAACCUGCCAAAAGCCCAACGAAGCUGCAGAGUGCGGACGGAACGGAGAAAACCUUCAGUCUAACCAGUGAGAUUGAGCCAAAAACAACAGAGUGGGAACGAGGCUCAAAGUUUACAUGCAAGUCAACUCACAAAGAUCAGGAAUAUAAAAAAACAAUAAGCAUUUGUCAAAUCCAUGAAAGCGCCCCUCCCUCCAUCCAUGUGGAGAUUCCCAGCUUCAAGACAGUAAUGAUGGCAGGAGGAUCCAACGUGGAAGCAACAUGUUUGGUCCGCUCUGAUUUUGACGCCAAGUUGACCUGGCGGAUAAAUGGGGGAGAUGCAACACAUGUCCAAGUGACGCAGGACAAAAACUCAACUUAUAUAUUCAGUACUGU